UACGUAGGGGGCAAGCGUUAUCCGGAUUUACUGGGUGUAAAGGGCGUGUAGCCGGGCUGACAAGUCAGAUGUGAAAUUCCGGGGCUCAACCCCGGACCUGCAUUUGAAACUGUUGGUCUUGAGUAUCGGAGAGGCAGGCGGAAUUCCUAGUGUAGCGGUGAAAUGCGUAGAUAUUAGGAGGAACACCAGUGGCGAAGGCGGCCUGCUGGACGACAACUGACGGUGAGGCGCGAAAGCGUGAGGAGCAAACAGG
rnacentral:rRNA from 1 species